rnacentral:lncRNA from 1 species
GCCUCAGAAAGGACCAAGCCCUCCUGGGGGUGAUCCCAGUGUGACCCUGACUCUAAGGGCCUCUGAUCGCAGUGACAGGAGCAGGUGGGCUCAGGAGUCACGUGGUCUGAGCUCGAAUCCCAGUCCACUGUCUGCAUCAGCUGGAGACCUCUGAUGAGCUCAUUCAACUCCCCAAGCCUCAGUUUUCUCAUCUGCACAAUGGAUCCGCUCAGAGUUUGCAGCUCCUGGGGUUACCAGGGAGUUAAAGGAGACAACCCCCACCUUAGUGCUUAGCUCUCAUUCCCCGGGGGGGGGGGCAACCAUCCCCCUGCAGGUCACAGCCUGGUCACCUUUGCCCCUCCCCCACUCUGCAGAGAGGCCAGGCUCAGGUGCCCCGUCCCCCUCCCUAGCAGAUCCCCGUUCUCUUUCCUCCUUGGUGCCGUCUGAUCAUUUCACUUCUUUCUGUAUUUAGCUGCCUUGGGUCUGCCCUGCUCUGGGUGGCGAGCUCCGUCCGGCAUGGGCCUGUCCCUCCCACUGUACCCCAUCACCCAGGGCAGAGCUGAGCCCAGAAAAGUGCUCACAGUUUUUUGUUGAGUGAAGAAAUGGUCAGCAGCUGACAUUAUUUUUAUCACCAUCACCGUCAAGGACCAUGAUGGUCACGGUCACAAUACACUCUCACAAUACGUGAAUGAUCAAAUACAGUGAAAAUGCCCAACAUCUCUGGCCACUAGAGAAAUGCAAAUUACAAUGACGCAAAUUAAAAUGAUGCUGACUCACUCCAGUCAGAAUGGCAA